UGAACAGUUGCGCAUGGACAUGCAGUGAGGCACUUCAAGAAAUAUUUAAUCAGUGCCCUUUCCUCAGAGUACAUGAGACAGUCAGUGCUAGCCAGUGCUAGCCAGCUGGCCUCCUGAUACUCUAUGACACAGAGGGAGCCCCGUCCAAGUUCACUUUCCAUCCAUCUAUUUUUGAAUCCUUUUAACACUUUAUGAGAGAGAAAGAGAACAAACAACAGAAGAGGCAGGAGGGCAAGCGGACAGCAUUUAACCCCACAAAACUGCCACAGAGCCCGCAAGCCUGGAGCAAAAUGCAGGCUCUUUAGCCCCUUGUUGUAAGACUUAGAAACACUCUUACCACGUUAUUAGUCUACGAAUUCCACCAUCUGGCGUACUGAGACAUUUACAGACAAGAGCCAGGGAGACAGAAGAAGCUGUGCUGAGAGGGUUAGACAGAAGAAUUCAGGAUUCAAGUGCUGUAGCACUACUGGUGAGGAGAGAGAGGGUAGGGAAGCCCAAAGAACAAGUGAGCCAUUUAAACCGGUUCUGAAAGAGACAGUGUAGAAGACACACAAACAUUCCUAGUUUCUUGCCUUGGCUGGAUAACACGGCUGCAAAAGACUAUCAUCCAGAAACAGUCUACAGCCUACACUUCAAACACAAGUUUGACACGGCAGACAGUCUGGGUAAGAGGCAACCAUCUGGUUAUCUUCAGUUAACCAGAAACUUCCAAGCCUCAUCUCUACUGGGACUGACACGCCGAUGAUGACAUCACGGAAAGGGACACUGUGGUUCCCUGGCCAUGGGAACCCUGGAGGGUUGGGAGGAGUGAGCCCAGGUGGGCAGGACACAGGCCCGCCCAUCCAUCUUCUGGAAGGUAACUGAGCCCUUAAGGGAAGAUGUUCUGCCAACAGAUUCAUAAACUCCACAGGGCUGGAACAAAGCCAAGAAGGUGCCUGGCCCGCCUUGCCUUUAUGGAAGCCGGUGACUAAUCAUAGCAAGCCCUACACAGCUAAGAUGGCAUAACUUCCAGAAAAUAAAUCUGCAAAGUAAUACAGGACACAGAGUUCCCAGCAUUGGAGUGGGCGACUCUAACACUGAGCGUUGUAGAAUGCAUUUCCUAUGUCAGCUAUUCGUCUGACUCCCUGAAGACAGUGCAGGAAAUGUAAAGUUGACCGACAGAUCAUGACAUGUGCUGGUGGACAUAGCACAGGAUGCUCAACCUUACUAUAAAGCUCCCCUUAUAAACUCCCUGAGGGCGGUGUGCUGCACACUGGUCUACGUACAAGUGCACAAUGAAGUUGUGCUAAACAGAUUCUUCUUUACCUCCCCUGUGUUCUUUAGCCAUGCAGUGCUGGGAAAUAGAUCCUGGGCCUUGGACAUACCAGGCAAGUGUUUCCACCCCUGAAAUACAACCCCGGCCCGGCCCUUGCUUUUUUUGUGUUCACAAAACCGAGAGGCACUGGAGGGUUAGCCUUUAGGCUAAGCCACUGAUGGUGGAAGACAGUGUACUUAAUGUUUCGACUGGAUGCCGGCUGCGCUCCAGUGUGAGUAUAGCAGCAGUAUCCAUACUUGAGAUGGCUGCAAAGGAAGUGCUGAUACCACAGACAGCGUAUCAUAAACUCAGAAAGCUCUCACAUGGGAAAACUCUGACAAGCCAUUAAACAGACAAACAACCUUCAGGAAGCCAGGCCUACCCACAGUGCCUGCCUCUAACCAGGGCCUGCGUGUACAGAGCUGAAAGUCAGGAGAUAAGUCAUGGCAGGAGGCAGAAAGGCUUAAUGGUGCUGCUCAACAACAACAAGACAGAUGAGCGGCAAGCUGCAGACCAGGGAGACAGGUCUACAGAGGGAAGAUACUAUCUCAUUCCCUUGUGUGUUCUGGGCAACCUUCAGAAGGUCAGGGGCUUGAACCAUCCAGUGGUCUUUUGAGCAAUGGUACCUCCUACAGGAAGAUGGCUCCAUUCCGUGUAAGUGGCUCCUCCUUAUAAAGCACCCUUCAUACGCCACUGGAAUGAUAGGAUCUAUUCCUUUUAUUAAAAAUAGCAAAGUAUAGUGAGGAGAAUUUUUAAAAAGGUGGAAAACCACCUAGGAGCAACAACCAAAGCAAAAUCAAGCCUACACUAAACUGAAUAGUUGUAGAGGACUGUCUGCCAUGAGAUCACUAUCAAGGCCUAAUCCCUCUUCACUUCCAAGAGCAGAUGAGAAGGUACCUAUUCAGGGUGUGUGUGUGUGUGUGUGUGUGUGUGUGUGUGUGUGUGUGUGUGUGUGCAUGUACGUGUGCAUGUACGUGUGCAUGUGUAUGUGUGUUUGUGUGUGUGUGCAUGUACGUGUGCAUGUGUGUGUGUGUGUGUGUGUGUGUGUGUGUUUGUGUGCGUGUGUUGUGAUUACUGUCCUCAGACCCUUGGGCUAUGGAUUUAUGGUUUGGUCACAAAUAGCUGAUGUUAACCUGUCGCAGUACGGUCACUCGCUCGAACUCUGAAAGUCUCAGCUUUAGAAAGUUAGUGAGGUAAAUACCAGAGACGCUCAUGGGAAUCUUACGCUCUCAACAGUUUCUGGAAAAUAAGCCUAGACUUUCUCCUACCUGUUCCAGGCUAAGUGGAUUCCUUCUUUUAGAACCUUUCCACGUGUAUAUCGAACCUAGAGCACAGCAGACCUGCUUCCAACACCCACAGAGACCAGCCUCAUCCCAUUCUCUUGUUCUCAUUGAGCCCCGACUCUCCUACUAAGAUUCUCCUCCUUAAAAAGCUAUCCCAGAGAGGAUCAGAGUCUGAAUGCUACUCCCUAAUCCAGCUGGAAGGCACAAGUUUGGGCUGCCAACGAGUCUCCACCCCAUCUGCGUGCACACACCUACCUGGGGCUUGUCAGCCAAAAGGCUGGGAUGCACACUUCUAUAGCCCUUGGCAGCGAGUGGGGAGGGCUGGGCGUUGCCAUUGGCAUCGGCACUGGAAGAAAGUUUCCAUUCAUCUGAGGCAAGAAAAACACAAACAAACCCCAUCACUCACAGGUAACACCCACCGGCUUCCCACUAGUUCAAGGGUCCCUGGUGCCCCCAAGGCCCAGAGGCUAAGAAUGCAAGAAAAGCCAUACCUGCUGAAUGGUCCUCUGGCUCCAGGCCUGUGCAAGGAGCGAGAAAGAUGAGAACAAAGAGGGAAGAACAGAACCGGUUAUGUUUGCGGGAAGCAAGCAUGAGACACACUGACUGAUGAAAAUCAGUGGCCCUCGUCUGACACAAAACUCCCUCAGUCAAGAAGGCCCGAUUACCAUAGGAACCCACUUGAGACCAUGAUGUGUUCACAGGCGCUGACCUUUGAGAACACAAGACCACAUUCACAGGAAUGAAGAAACAAUUGUUCCUUGACAUUCUUACUUUACAGACUGAAAGGCAACAGAGCUCUCCGCUGUCCAGCCCCCACCCCCAAGCCUGCUGUAGGCUCAGAACGGCCAUAGAGGCUGACUGAAGGACGCCUCAGUGGCAGGUUUCUGUUUGGUGGGUUUUGCUUGUUUGUUCUUGGAUCUGAGCGUCUCCAUCACAUGAAACAAAGUACAAAAACAUUCACGACGCGGGCUGGACAGAUAGCUCAGCAGUUAAGGUUUUGCUACACAAUCACGGUGAGCGGAGUUCAGAUCCCAGUACCCACAUAACGAGUCAGGAAUCCCACGAAUGCCUAUGACUCCAGCUCUAAGAGAUCCGAUGCCCUGCCCCCUUCUGGCCUCUGCCAAGGGGAGGCUGGGGGGGGGGGAAUAAGCACACACAAAUUUUAAAUAAAUCUAAUAAAAUCUAAACAAAUCUAAUAAAAAUUUUUGAUAAGAAAAACCCAUACCCGACUUGAUUUCGUAUGACAGAUCAGUCAAAGUGUGCUAAAAAUACAAUAGGCUCCAUGUAUGAAGUUAUGUGAAACACAAAUGAAUCCCCUAUUUAGGGUUGGGCUCCUUCCAUAACAUGCUCCACUAUUUAGAAUGCAAGCACUCCAAAAUCUAAAAGAAACAGAUCUGAAAUACUUCUGGUCUUGAGUGCUUCAAAUAAGACCCAGUGACUCUGUAUGUGACCGUGCAGCACGGCAGGGAACAAGCACAGAUAAUCCAGAAAGGAAAUGGGCUGUGCUUCCAAACACCCUUAUUGAUGGGCACUAAAUUUUGACAGCUUUCAUGUAUCAUGUAAUAUCAUCUUUCUCUGCAUUUUUCUAACAGUCAUUUAAAACACGAAGGCCACUUAGGCAGCAGGCUAGAUUUUGCUCACGGCCAGUUUGGCUACCCCUACUCUAACAGGCCGGAGCGAGGAGGAGGGAGGCAGCCAAGGGAACAUGGUGGUGGACGUUAAGAUUCCUCUCUGCACAUUUACAGGUUGUUAUAACUAUUCUUAAGGGAUGGAUGUGUACAGGAUUUUGUGUUGUCUAGAUGGGCAAAUUAUAUCUUAUCUAGGUGGGCAGUUUAUAUCCUUAUCAAUUGGUUGUGAGUUUAUUUAUUGUGUGGAUACACUGAGAAUUUAACAUGUAAAUCUGAUUGUUGGGUUACA